UACUUCUCUGCCAUUCAGACCAUACUGUCCUGAGAAUGUGCUCCAGAUCUGGACCAUGGAACAUAUGAGAAGGCAAAGUCCUGACACAAAACAAAGGGAGAAGAUGAAAGGGUAAAUGCUAUUUUUCCAUUACCAUGGCACUUAUUCAUAGACUGGGAGAAAUAAGUUGUGCCUGUUCUUGGAACGGAGCCAUUCCUUUGCUCAUGCAGAGACAUCUCUCAACCCAGCUGUGCUGCUUCUGAGUUCCUUGUUAUCAACUCUUACAACUGUGUGGGGGAAAGCAACAAAAUCAUGACAAUGAUAAAUGCUGCUUCUUUAGAAACUCACACAGUGCCAGCCCCAUUUGUGGUCCAAAAGCCCCGCUGUGGUCUGGCUCUGAGCAAACAGAGUUAUUAGCAGUCAUGGGAGGCUGAGAGGUUGGAGGUUCGAGCUGACCAGUUGUUACAGAAAAACAACAGAUUCCUCCUCUUCUUCUUUUUCUUUUUUUUCCUGGGCUCCUUUUAUUGCUGAAUCUUUUAUGCUCUGGAGAAGAGCACUGCUGUUGUCUGGUGGCUAAAAGCAAAACCACAUAAAGGGGGAAGAGAAAGGAGAGUAAAACAAAGCUUUCUCUCGCCCCCAGCUCGUUAACAAAUGCAGCAAGCGAUCCCGUAGGCACACCAGGUAGUGCCCCUGGGCUGGCACGGUGCCCAUCUGUGCCAUCUGCUGAGUAUCAAACCUUCCUCUGCUUCCCAUCACGUAGAACCUGCUGCAGCCGGGCGCUGCUUUCCUGCUGAAAUCGCUGCGGCACACAGCCAGCCCAGGCAAAACUGCUCAUCAGACAGCCAGAAUUUGCAGCUUCCAUCUGCCCCAAGCUGGACUUUGGGCUGGAGGAGUAGCUGCAGGCUGCUGAUCUCCUAAGAAGCACAGGACUUGGGACUAUCUAUCUGUGCCACAGUAGCAAGAGUUCAUUUCUCUCUUUCUGGUAAGUACAUGCAAUGUGGACACACAUGUAGCUUUUAUGUAACCCUCCUUUAGGGGAGCAUCUAA
rnacentral:lncRNA from 1 species